rnacentral:rRNA from 1 species
GACGUAGGGUGCGAGCGUUGUCCGGAUUUAUUGGGCGUAAAGGGCUCGUAGGCGGUUUGUCGCGUCGGGAGUGAAAACACCGGGCUUAACUCGGUGCUUGCUUUCGAUACGGGCAGACUAGAGGCAUGCAGGGGAGAACGGAAUUCCUGGUGUAGCGGUGAAAUGCGCAGAUAUCAGGAGGAACACCGGUGGCGAAGGCGGUUCUCUGGGCAUGUCCUGACGCUGAGGAGCGAAAGUGUGGGGAGCGAACAGG